rnacentral:rRNA from 1 species
GACGGAGGGUGCAAGCGUUAUCCGGAAUGAUUGGGCGUAAGGCGUCCGCAGGUGGCAGUUCAAGUCUGCUGUCAAAGACCGGGGCUUAACUUCGGAAAGGCAGUGGAAACUGAACAGCUAGAGUAUGGUAGGGGCAGAGGGAAUUCCUGGUGUAGCGGUGAAAUGCGUAGAGAUGCGGAGGAACACCGAUGGCGAAGGCAGCCCCCUGGGCCUGCACUGACGCUCAUGCACGAAAGCGUGGGGAGCAAACAGG